rnacentral:rRNA from 1 species
UACGUAGGUGGCAAGCGUUAUCCGGAUUUAUUGGGUUUAAAGGGUGCGUAGGCGGGCUAUUAAGUCAGUGGUGAAAUCCUGCAGCUUAACUGCAGAACUGCCGUUGAUACUGAUAGUCUUGAGUUUGGUUAAGGUAGGCGGAAUGUGUAAUGUAGCGGUGAAAUGCUUAGAUAUUACACAGAACACCAAUUGCGUAGGCAGCUUACUGAGCCGACACUGACGCUGAGGCACGAAAGCGUGGGGAUCAAACAGGAUUAGA